rnacentral:pre_miRNA from 1 species
AUCACUUAGGAAUUUUGUUAAAAGGCAGAAUCUGAUUCUUUACGUUUGGGGUUGGGCCUGAGAAUCUGCAUUUCUAACAAGCUUUCCGGUGAUGAGGA